GUGUCAGCCGCCGCGGUAAGACGAGGGGUCCAAGCGUUGUUCGGAAUCAUUGGGCGUAAAGCGGGUGUAGGUGGAUUUGUAAGUCAGGAGUGAAAGCCCCAGGCUUAACCUGGGAAGUGCUUUUGAUACUGCAAAUCUUGAAUGUGGGAGAGGAUGGUGGAAUUCCAGGUGUAGUGGUGAAAUACGUAGAUAUCUGGAGGAACUCCGGUGGCGAAGGCGGCCAUCUGGCCCAACAUUGACACUGAGACCCGAAAGCGUGGGGAUCAAACAGGAUUAGAUACCCUGGUAGUCCACGCCGUAAACGAUGAAUACUUGGUGUUGGAGGUAUUGACCCCUUCAGUGCCGAAGCAAACGCGUUAAGUAUUCCGCCUGGGAAGUACGGCCGCAAGGUUAAA
rnacentral:rRNA from 1 species